rnacentral:rRNA from 1 species
GAAUUUUGGACAAUGGGGGCAACCCUGAUCCAGCAAUGCCGCGUGUGUGAAGAAGGCCUUCGGGUUGUAAAGCACUUUUGUCCGGAAAGAAAUGGCCUGGGAUAAUACCCCGGGUCGACGACGGUACCGGAAGAAUAAGCACCGGCUAACUACGUGCCAGCAGCCGCGGUAAUACGUAGGGUGCGAGCGUUAAUCGGAAUUACUGGGCGUAAAGCGUGCGCAGGCGGUUUUGUAAGACAGGCGUGAAAUCCCCGAGCUUAACUUGGGAAUGGCGCUUGUGACUGCAAGGCUAGAGUAUGUCAGAGGGGGGUAGAAUUCCACGUGUAGCAGUGAAAUGCGUAGAGAUGUGGAGGAAUACCGAUGGCGAAGGCAGCCCCCUGGGACGUCACUGACGCUCAUGCACGAAAGCGUGGGGAGCAAACAGG